rnacentral:tRNA from 1 species
GGUGCCAUGGCUUAGUUGGUUAAAGCGCCUGUCUAGUAAACAGUAGAUCCUGAGUUGGAAUCUCAGUGGUGCCU